AACGUAGGAGACAAACGUUAUCCGGAGUUACUGGGCGUAAAGGGCGUGCAGGCGGUCGACUAGGUCUGGCGUGAAAGCUCGCGGCUAAACCGCGAGAGGUCGUUGGAUACUGGUUGACUAGAGGACGGUAGAGGCGUGUGGAAUUCCGGGUGUAGUGGUGAAAUGCGUAGAGAUCCGGAGGAACACCAGUGGCGAAGGCGACACGCUGGGCCGUACCUGACGCUAAAACGCGACAGCAUGGGGAGCGAACGGG
rnacentral:rRNA from 1 species